rnacentral:rRNA from 1 species
GCUCUGGCUGAGCGGUCCGCCAAUUGGUUGGUACUGCUUCGGCUGGGGCUCACUUUCUGGUGGGCCGUCAUGUCCUUUACUGGGUGUGGCGAGGAACCAGGACUUUUACCUUGAAAAAAUUAGAGUGUUUAAAGCAGGCUAACGCUUGAAUACAUUAGCAUGGAAUAAUGAAAUAGGACGUUGAUCCUAUUUUGUUGGUUUCUAGGAUUGACGUA